CGAACGCUGGCGGCAGGCCUAAUACAUGCAAGUCGAACGGCUCUUCGGAGCAGUGGCGGACGGGUGAGUAACGCGUGGGAAUGUGCCCUUUGGUACGGAACAACACAGGGAAACUUGUGCUAAUACCGUAUGUGCCCUUCGGGGGAAAGAUUUAUCGCCAUUGGAGCAGCCCGCGUUGGAUUAGGUAGUUGGUGAGGUAAAGGCGCACCAAGCCUACGAUCCCUAGCUGGUCUGGGAGGAUGAUCAGCCACACUGGGACUGAGACACGGCCCAGACGCCAUCGGGAGGCAGCAGUAGGGAAUCUUGCGCAAUGGGCGAAAGCCUGACGCAGCCAUGCCGCGUGAAUGAUGAAGGUCUUAGGAUUGUAAAAUUCUUUCACCGGGGAGGAUAAUGACGGUACCCGGAGAAGAAGCCCCGGCUAACUUCGUGCCAGCAGCCGCCGUAA
rnacentral:rRNA from 1 species